GCUACAGAGACAGUAAAACUAUCUCCUGAGCCCUCAUCAGGGGCCAGGCACCAGGAGAAGCAGAACAUGUGGGUUGGAAGCUCUGGCGUCAGUGUUCUCCCCAGACCCACCCACACCCCCAAACCCCAGCUCUGUCCCUCCUAAAGCAAGACUCAGGCUGGGCACAGCAGCACACACCUGUAAACCCAGAGGCUUGGGCGGCUGUGGCAGCAGGAGGAUGGCGAGUUCAAAACCAGCCCCAGCAAUUAGCGAGAAGGCAGCUGCCAGGACAAGGUUCAGAGUGCCAGCCGAGUGCUUAGCCAAGGAGAAGCCUUCAUUGGGUCUGAGUUCACCAAAUGCUCACAGACCCAGGGAGACUGGGAGAGCUUUACCUUGACCUGAGGCCAACAGAGACUCACAUGGACUACUGAGACAUUGCGAAGCAUUUUGUCAUUUAAUCAAAUAAUAAAUAUUUAUUCUGUACUAGCAAUCUGAAAUCUGAACCAUGGAGCUGGAAAGUUGACCCUAGUGACAGAAGCCCUCUCUCUUUCCCUGGAAAGAUAGAAAGUGUGAGGUGGAAGCGAUGGAACUUUGCAUCUGUGUAUGUGUUUCUCUUUUCUUCUCUGAUCUGCAAUGCCUGUUCCUAUAAAGAUAAGGACUAUCAAACCCAUAAUCUCCUAGCUGCCUUUGCUCAGAAAGAGGGUGGUUGCACCUCUCUGUACUUUUUCCUUCCAUUGCCUCAUACGAUGCAUCUCUUGCCAGUGAUCAAUAAACUCUUGAUUUCUUUUUUCAAAAAGGAA